rnacentral:rRNA from 1 species
GACGAACCGUGCGAACGUUGUUCGGAUUCACUGGGCUUAAAGGGCGCGUAGGCGGCUUGCCAAGUCAGGGGUGAAAUCGUUCGGCUCAACCGGACAAGUGCUUCUGAUACUGGCGGGCUGGAGGGAGGUAGGGGCAGACGGAACUUCCGGUGGAGCGGUGAAAUGCGUAGAUAUCGGAAGGAACGCCGGUGGCGAAAGCGGUCUGCCGGACCUCUUCUGACGCUGAGGCGCGAAAGCCAGGGGAGCAAACGGG